AUCCAUCUGACAAGUCCUAAAUAUGACGAAAGGUGCGUCCUGGAU
rnacentral:hammerhead_ribozyme from 1 species